rnacentral:lncRNA from 1 species
UCUAUGUUCUUUUUUUUUUUUUUUUUUUGUCAUCCAUGUUCUUUUUUUUUCUUUCAUUUUUAACAUAUUUUAUGACUCUCAAAGUAGUCAGUAAUUCAGUAUUGUUAUGACGUUUUCGGGUGUGUUAUCGCUUGUCAGUAUAAUUGCUACCAUUUUCAUAAAGAAUUGCCAAAUCAAAGCACAUUUGUCAAUAUUAUGUUCUUACAAGUGUGCAUAUGAAGUUAUGUUUGAUCAUUAGUUACGAUAUCUCUUUCAUGUGGUUUAGUAUUAUUAACUACGAUACCUUUGCAUGUGGUAUAUAGGAGAUGGAGUGUUAAUAUGUGUCAAAUAAUCAGCAAAUAAAUCGAUUAUUCAAUUGUGCAUUGAUUUCGAUUCUGAAUAAUGCAAUCAUGGAGUAUCAAAUUGAGAGAACCAUCUUCAACUAAAUUAUUUGAUCGAGCAAACCUUGUGAAAUAGACUUUGAUCGGUUUGCUCUAAAGAUACUUCAGAAACUGAUGAUUAAACAAUUAAAAGAACAUAGUAACUAAUUACAAACACCAUCAACAUUAUGCACACCAAAAAAGGGGUCUUACCGUGAUCUCGCAUAUGUUCUGUUUACGACAUAUAACAGCAAAUGGAUCCACUGGAUUCUUUAAGCCGUUAUAUAAACUAAGUUCCAUAGAUUUAUAUAUAUAUAUAUAUAUAGAUGAAAGCAGCCUAAAGAGAAGCAAGGAGCUUCAAAAGAGACUCAAAAAAACCUCACACAAUCGUCAUAUUAAUACUUACAGAUUUGUUGUGAAGCAAAGUAGUACUAGUCUCUUCACGCAGUUGACAGCACUUCCAGUUCUGCCCACCAGAGAGCUGAAAGUUUUGGAAUCGCAUCGUCUGGUGAUAAUCCUGUGAUCUCCCGUAAUCUCCCUGUCACUUCCUUCAUUGUCGGUCUCUGUUUCGGGUCUGCCCUUAUGCAGCUUUUGAUCACUUCGCCUAUAUUCUCAAUCUUCUCAUCAAAACUCUCCAAUGUUGGAUCCGCCAUCUCCCUUAAAGUCUUUCCUCUCAAGAAAUCAGCCAAACCAGUAUCUAUUGAGUCGCCUUUCCUAACUGACUCUGGGAGUUUUCCAGUCAUCAAUUCGAACAACAGCAACCCAAAGCUGUGAACAUUGUCUUCUUGUGUCGUUUCUGAAAUGUUUGUAUCUAUGAGUGCAUUGGUGCUGCUCUCUGUCUCUGAUGGGCCUUUUAGGUACCCGAAAUUGAAAUCUGCAAUUUUGACUGCGUAGUCCUCUGUCAGUUGAACUGAUGACGAGAGAAGACUGCUGUGGACUACAGGUGGUUUGAGCCCGUGCAUAUGGUCAAGACAAUAUGCUAUGCCCAUUGCUAUUCUUAGCCGCAUUACCCAGUCCAAGUGCUCUGACUCUUUAUCUGCAACAAAGUCAUAUUGUUUCCCAUUUUUAAACUGACAACUUACAGUGUAACGACUCAUAUGACUAAGGAGCUUUUUCACUUACAGUGUAGAUGUUCAAAAACUGAUCCGUUUGAUGCAUAUUCAAAGACCAAGAUCCUAGUGAAAGGUGCAUCUUCUUCACAGUAACCAAGAAGGUUGACAAAAUUCUUGUGGUUUAUCUUGGAUAACAUUUCGAUCUGAAAUGAUCCAAAACAUAAACGAUAAGGCAAAUAUGAACCAAAAUCCAUUUAAAUAUAAGGGAACUGGCUGACUGGAAAUACCUUCUUUCUGAACUGCAUUUCGAUGUUAUUAGUCCAUUCUUUGGCAGACGCGGUAGCAACAGAAGCCACAGCUAUUUCCACCCCACUAGAUAGUGUCCCUUUGAACAAAGUGCCAAUGGGACAAGACCCAAUGACAUUACUGAAUUCUUCACAGGCAGCUUCAAUCUCAGAUCUUUUGAGUUUGGGGACACCUGAGUAACCAAAUGGCACACAUCAUUAAUAUGGAAACCAAAAGAAAAUGGACAAGCACGUCAAUUAAACCUCAAACUUCCAGAAAUAAAAAUGACACUUAGUAAGACACUAAGACUGUAAGAGCGAGUAGAAAGGCAAUUACCAGUUAUGAACACUUUCUGAAGCUGUCCACUAAGACCUGUACGCCAAGGAUUCACAGAUUUCCCAGCCUUACUCUUGAAAAAGAAGACACCAGUUGCUAAAAGGAGGAUAAACACAGCACCGCCUAAGCAGCCAGCCACUAUAGGAACCGUGUUGUUUGAAGAAUUUUUGGAGCUUCCUCUUAGGAUAGGAAAAUUCAAAUGGGGCACAAGAGGAGGUGGAGCAGAAACAUGUAGUGCAGGAGAACUUUUUGGCGGUGGAGGCAACGUUGAGGCUUUAGUAGCUUUAGUUCUCGGAGAAGAUGACGGAGAUGUAGCUCUUGCCACAGGGCGGUUCUUGUAGCUAUUCAAAUGGGUGUACGGGUUACGAAAACGGCCAAGUAAUUUCCUGUGAAAACCAACUGCUCUCCUACAAAAAGGUCAAAAGGCAAAAUGAUAUUUGAGUACACAGGAGAGCAAACAGAUACAUGUUUCUAAUUCAAAUGGAAUAAACGAGUGUGCCAGAGCACAGUCAAAGUAAAAUCAGCAAGUCUUAGUAUAAAAAUGCGUAAAACACAGUGUCGGUCUUCAUGUAGUACUACUCAAGAAAUAGUAUUAGUUCACUCAAAAGAAAAAAACUAAAAAGUAAGCAUGGUGUUAAAAAAAGUCAUAGAUCUACAAAAACCAGCUACAUUGAUGUUGAUGUUCAACCAAAAUUCAUGUUCAAAUCAUGUUCGCAAAAACUAUUCAUUCUACAUUGAACAAUCAACUUAAUAGUGGCUAAAACACUAGAUCUUACAUAGCAAGCUCAGAAACCUAAUCUGCACAAGUAUAAAAACACCUCAUGUAAAGCGCAAGCAUCAAGUUAUAAAUCUAAAAAUCAUCAACGAAGAGGUCUUAUCCAAAAAUACUUAAAACUUACUAAAUCAAUCCAGCUGCGUUAACAAACUAAAAAAAAAAAAAAAAAAAAAAAUCACAGAACAAAAAAAUCGAAAGCUGCUGAUACUUACAAAUCCUCGGCAUCUCCAUCUGACAACAGAUCUUUCGUCACAAAAUCCAGAUAACCCACACCUGAAAAGCCAAAAUCGAAACAGCAAUCAUCAGCAACUUGCUUCUAUUUACCGGCGGCAAUCAAAAGAAAAAGUGAGAGAGAAUCAAAAACUAGUAAAUAUACCAUGAGAUGUCAACGAAAAGCAAGAACCGAAGCUCAAAAUCACCAGAAGAAACAGGAGAGUACGAUUUGGAAGAGUUAAUCGAACAAAUUUCCAGUUAUCACUCAUUGUGAGAAGACGACAAGUGGAAGCAGGAAGCUAAUCAACGACACCGGAAGCUGGAAAUACCAAAGGCUCGAUUUGAAUCUGAUACGGCUAGAUUGGAAGAUGAAGAACAAAAAGAAAUCAAAAAGUUAAGCUAAAAGAAGAAGAAGAAGGAAGAGAGAGAGAGGUUUAGAGUUUUGAGUUCGCAUGGCGGAGGAGACGAUUAGAAAGAAGAACAUGACUUUUCAACUUUAGAGUUUUUUUUUAAUUUUAAAGCGCGUGUCCCCGUGGUUUGGCCCCGAUAAUAAAUUAAAAAGUAUACAGAGACUCUCAGAGAGAGUAGUAAAUUUAAAUAAAUAAAAGGCAAUAACUUCUUCUUGUUGACAAAAUAAAUAAUUAAACAAUAACGUACAUUUAUUUUCUUUUAUGAGAAUUGAACGUAUAAUAAUAUUCAACUGUAUAAAUAAGGAAGAAGAAGAGAGUAACACAGUUUUAGCAUAACAUGUAGAAAAGAUAGAAGAAAUCUAAAACCAAUGGACGUGAAGAUGCCAGAGUUCAAAAAAGGUAUCCAAAAGAAAGAGGCCAAAGCCACCGGUCACCACCACCGUCGAUAAAGACUUGUUUUGAUGUUAGCAGCCCUUUUCUGUGGAAUAUGGUUUAUAGUAAAAAACAUAAAACAAUGGUGGUGGUGGGAGGAUAUAUACGCCACGUGGAUUUAUUUUGUUGUAAUCAUGUGUUGGAUAGUGGAAUGAUUGAAGUUGAAUGAUUGUGUUUUUUUUUUUCUGUUAUUGUUAUUAUCAAUUUAUCAUUACGGGAUUAAGAAAAUUAUAAUGAUAAUUUUUUUUCUUUUUUUUUUUCUUCUGAUGACUGAUUCAACGUGGAGGUUUUUUUCUUUUUUUUGGUAUUAUGUUGGCUUAGCUGUUGUUAAAAUUCAUUCGUUUUCAAUCCAACUCUUUGCCAUGUGGUCAUGGUCAUGGAUGUAAUGGGUGUGUAUCGCGUACGCCCCAAUUUUAUUUUUGCUGGCGCUAAAUUCGUUUAUAUAUUCUCAGAUUUUUUAGGGUAUGGAGAAGUGUUCCAUAAUUGUUGUUAUUGACACACCGCCCACGUUUUGUGGUGUUUAUCCCAUUCAAAGAGACACAAAGAAGUGUUCCAUAAUCAAUCUAUCUCUAUUCUUCCACGAUCUCUUGUCGAUCAUAUAUAUAUAAAGUACCCAUAUUGCAGCUACUACCUGAUUUUAUUGUUUACGGGCCUAAUGCUAAUGAGCAGAAGAUGAAAUGUUCUUGAUUCAACAUUAACAUAACCAUACAUAUAUGUUCCGAUGAGAUCAAUCCAAACACACAUGUUCCGACAAACACUCAAAAUUCAUUUUGGAAAUUUGGAACUUUUGAGUCUAAUCAUAAUGUCCAAGUCCGACCAUACCUUUUGAUAUGAUCUACAUCCAUUCUUCAGCUUAAUAUAUGCAUUUUCUUUGGUAAUCAAGUUAGACACACAAUUAAUCCAUCAGAAAAUUUUCAAAUCAAUAAAAAAUAGUUAACUCAUGAAUAAAAAGUUCGACAUAAUGUUUUUUGUUGUUGUUGUUGUUAAAUAAGAGCUUCAUUAUUGGUUGAAUGGAUCCGAAGAAAUUAAAUGGUUGACUAGUAUGUAUGUAACGGUCUCGCCGUAAUCUGAAAGCCAUCGAGUUUUUGAUUGGAGGAUGAAGCAAAAAGAGCAAAUCAAAUACUAUUAUAGAAUUUUACAAAAUUCACCGCCAUGUCUACGCGUACGUAAUCUAACUUCAUCUUUACGUAAGUUUAUGCCUUCUCUGUUUUGGUCACCUUUAUACUUAUUAGUAUUAUAGUCGUCACUUUGUUUUUUGGUCUUGCAAGUGCAUAUGCAUGCACUUUCAUGGGAAACUUUGCUUGAAGUAAUUGACAGUCAGAUAGUGCUGCGGCAUAUAUAUAAUAUAGUACUUACAAACUAAAUUUUGAUGGGCGUUAGAGUAUUAAAAAUAUAUAAUGGGAAACCUUAAAGAUCAAUGCAUUGAUUAUAUUUGUCAUUGACUUAUUAAAUGGAACAAACAAACCAUGCAUAUGGCAGCUGUCUGUGUGUGUAAAGAGGUUUCAGAACGAUCGUAUAUAAUACUAUUAUCAUAUAAUAUUAUUGUACAUUAGGACUUUAAUUAGGACCAUAUAUAAUUAAGAAAAAAUAUUACAAAAUAAGAUCUGAAAACUUUGAAUAGUAUGUAUAAAACUAAUUGAAGCUGCAAUCACAUGUUAGCGUACAUAUGCAUGUUAUAUUGUUUAUUUUUGCGUCAGAUUCUAUAUAUAUUUUAAAUUAUAUGUUUAACUCUUAAUUAUUAUACGAUUCUUUCAAAACCUCUCACAUGUUCUAUAGUAAUUUCUAUGAUGAACCAAUUCUAAAAUUCAUAGAUAUCUAAUUAAGAUCAUAUAUAUGAACAAGUGUACAUAUAUAACUGGUCACUAAUGAGAAAGAUCUCUUCUUGCAUAAGUAUAUUUGUAAUUAUCGAGCUCAUCGCUUCAUUUUUUACUUUCUUCCAUGGAUUAUCUUAUUGAGAACUUCUACAAUUCGAUUUUUGUUGUUUCUUCUUCAUUUCCCUGAGAAGCCGCCCUCUCUCGGAGAAUCUUCUGCCCCAUAUACCUAUACACAUGUAUUAGAACUCUCCCAUAAUUAUGUCUAAUAUAAAAACUUUUUAAUUUGGAUAAUUUGUUUCAUUUGGUUUAUGCGUGUAAGUACCUUCCGAGCAUCAUGAUCGUGGCUUGAGGAUUAGUCCCCGGGGUCUUAAGAAAUGUGGAUGCAUCAAUGACCCUCAAACCAUCAAUCCCUAAUACUUUGUAAUCAUUGUCCACCACUUUUCCAACUUGACAACCUCCAUGGUAAUGAUAAAGAGUCAUCACUGUGUCUUUACAAAACUGUUUCAAGUCGAACGUCGAGGUUAUGUGUCUUGGCCUCAAAUUGUUGGGAAGGAGAAGAAUGAGAUCCAACAGUCCACGUCCGGUCACUCCAGGGAAUUUAUACUUGGAGUAUCCCUUCGAAUCUAUCACUUUAAUCAACGCACUAAGUCCUUUAACACAAUUGUUCAAAUCCUCUGGCUCUUGGUAGUAGUUGAAUGUCACUGAAGGAUUAUCAUCUGGAUUCGUGUUCCGCAGCUCCAAGUGACCUCGCGAGAGCGGUCCAUAUACUUUCAUAACCAUCCCACCCGCUUGUGCCGUCACGUUGAAUCGAAAGUCCAAAGAUUUGAAAAAGUUCGAGAGGGUUUUGGUAGGGAGUUUUAUCUGCAUAAACAUCAUACAAAACUAACCUUUAAUUAGUCUUCUGAAUUAAUAAUAGUUUUAUAUAAUGUUGAAUGAGUGAUCUUAAUUGAUGAUUAUAUUUAUACCUCAUUGAGAAGAUUUAGAACACCAUUAAAGAAGCUAUGGGUCAAACUAAUAGAGAGACUUAACCCACUUAAACCUUCAAUAUAACUACCAAAAUGUGGGAUUCCCGCGAUUUGGACAAGGGACACUUCUACAGGUUUAGGUGAAAGGACUAAAACAGGGUUCAUGGGGUUAUCACCCAUUCCUUUUCCCACCAUGGGGUGAUCUAGGAUAAUUGGAUUCACUCCAUGGGCUGCAAGAUGGGAUCUUGGACCUACACCACUCAACAUCAAUAGUUGCGGGCUUGCGAUUGCACCCGCUGAUAAGAUCACCUCGUUCAUUGCGUCCUGAUCCACUAGUUUGGCUGUGUGGAACACUCCGUUUGCAUCUCGGAAUAUGACCCCUUUGGCUUUAGGCUUUGGACUUUCUGUACAAAAACAAAGUUGGUCAUAUAUAUCCGAAUCAUAGGAAAAGAACAAUGUGUGUUCGAAUGACUGAUCAGACGGAUGACAACGACCAAACCGACCGCCAAACUUAUAUGAUACACUAUAUUACUUGGAAACAACAAAACCAAAUUAACGAACUAUUCAUAUCAAGACCUAAAAGUCUGUAUAUAAUAUUAUAAUCUAAAUAUCUAGUUUAUUUUAAUUAAUAAGUUGUUAAAAAAAAAAUUUAUAUACAAUUAUUAGAAUUAUCUAUUUUUAUUAUAAUUUAAUCAAAUAUAGAAAUAGCACAUUCUAUGUUAUAAAUAGCAAAAUAGUUUCGAGAUAUUUUUUGAAUGUAUAAUAUUUUCUGGUAGUAAAUUUGGUUACGUGUAACAUAAGUCUCUCACACACACUCUCAAUUAAUCUCUCUCGCUAUUCCUAAAUCCUAACCCUCACGAGUCAUGCCGUCUCCUUCACCAAUCCUAAACCUCCUAUUUAUGGAAACCCCAAAAAGAAAAAAAGUUUAAAUCUUGCUAAUAUAGUAUCAAUUAUCAAUCAUUUACCUUUGGUAGUGAAGAGGAUCUUAUGAACAGAAGCAUGCAAGUAGACAGCAAUCUUAUUCGGAUUAGCAUACUCCAACAAAUUCGCCGCCGUGUGUCUCCGACCAUUCUCGUCAAUGAUCGUACCGCCAAUUUUCGUACCGUAAAUAUGUUCGUAAGUAAAACCAUUGUACGGAGUGACUCCAGCUUCCAAAAGCCCGUCUCUAAACGCCGAUUGCCAUCCCUUAACCUUGGGCUGGAACACCACUUUCUUCUCGACCCACUCGUAAGCCGCUUCGACCUCGUCACUGUCCCAUCCUGCUUCCGCCACGAAGUCAUCUUCAGCACGCGAGUAGAACCCCGCGUUUAUCACCGUGCCUCCGCCGAGAACGCGAGCGCGUGAGUUGAAUACACCGUCUUGGGAGAUGAAUAGCUGCGUCCAAGAGUUUGGAGUUAUGUUCAAGAGUGUGUUUACGAAGUUGUUGAUGUCUGUGGCCGUUGGGUUGUCGUAAGGGGAACCACCGCGUUCUAGUACUAAAAUGGUAGCGUUUUGAGAAAGCGUUGCGGCUAGUGCACAUCCGGCGGUUCCUCCUCCGAUGACUAUAUAGUCGAAGUGAGACAACUUUGGUGCUAUUGUUGCAUCUUUCAUAAAACUAUAAUAACCAGCUUCACGACAAUAACAAAUUUCAAAUGAAAAAAAGUUAAAAUAAGUAUAUAUACUAAGAAAUAACCUUUAAGUUCAUUAAAUUGAAUGUGUAGUGAAGAAAAUUAGUAAUCGUACCUUUAUCGGAAUAACACGAGUCGUGGAAGAUGAAAACUGCGACGACAACAAAACAAAAUAAUCGGAAUAUAUAAAAUUCCAUGAUUAUUAUAUACUAUAAAUCUGACCUCUUCAAAAAAAAUUGGAUUAUAUAUUUAGGGCAUAGAAGAGUAGAACUCAUCUGGUUUAUAUAAUGUCUAGAAGGAUACGAUACGAUUCUUUUGUAGAGAGCCGUAUAUGAAACAAAAACAUUAUAUGAACCGGUUACGGCAAAGUCUUAUUCUCAUGUAAUUUUCGGCAUAUCCUUUUAAACCAUUUAUUUAUCAACACGUGUGAAAAACGAUCUAGGAUUCGAAAGGCAUCAUCGUAUUUAUCUUGUCUUUUCGUAGAAAAAUAUGAUGUCUUUCAUGAGAUCCCUUUUAUAUAUGUGACAAAUUCUUAUUACAUAAAUUUUUAUAUGCGGUUCCUUUCAAAAGAAAAAGAAAAACAUUACGACUGUGGCGCUGGGUGAGAAUUAGAAAUUCCCACUUCUAAAUACAAAUUUUAGAGAAAUAAAGAAAAUUUUUGCCCAAAAAAAAAAAGAGAAAUAAAGAAAAUUAAUAUUAUCUUUUACAGAGAGAGACAAAUUUCACAUUAGAAAAAAAAAAAGUAAUUUGACAACAAAGAAAUUAUAUAUUGGUGGUGAGCCGAAGAGGAAAGGGCGUUUGGUUCAUUAUAUUAAUAAACUCAUACGUUACCAAACUGAGAGAUUUGAGUAUCCACUUUGUUUACCAAAAAAAUAAAAUUAAUCAGCGACCUCAUUUUGUUUUCUGGUCAUACUAUUACAAAAUGUAAUAUUAGACAUUAAUGUUCAUUCUUUUUCCGAACAAAAUAAUUUAGAAUAAUAAGCCAAAAGUAUCUGUAAUCCUGUUUUUGUUAGGACUAAAGAUAUGGCACACUCAAAAUCCCAUGAAGAGGAUUGUCAUACAUCUUUCAUUGGAGAAAGCAACAAUCCCCAAAUAAGGAGAUUUUUUUUGAGAAUAUAUAUUUCAAAUCUCAAGUAAUUUUUAUUAACUUUUUAUAUAUUUAAUUUAUAUGGAUUCUUUGAUUAUUUUUACAACUCGGUUUUAACUGUUUCUUCUUGUUGUUUUUCUCGGAUAACAGUCCUCUCUCGAAGAAUCUUCUGCCCCAUAUACCUACACAUAUUAUAACUCUUCAACAAUCAUAUUUAGAAAACAUUUAUGUUGGAUCAUAAAACAUCAAUGCGUUUAUUACCUUCCCAUCAUCAUGAUCGUGGCCUGGGGAUUAGUCCCUGGAGACUUGAGAAACGUGGAUCCAUCGAUGACCCUCAAAGCAUCAAUCCCUAAUACUUUGUAAUCCUCGUCGACCACUUUCCCAACUUGACAACCUCCAUGGUAAUGAUAAAUAGUCAUCACAGUAUCUUUACAAUACUGUUUCAAAUCGAACGCCGAGGUUAUGUGUCUUUGCCUCAGAUUGGUUGGAAUGGUAAGGAUGAAAUCCAGUAGUCCCCGUGAACUCACUCCAUCGUACGUGUACUUGGAGUACCCCUUGGAAUCGAUCACUUUCAUAAUGGUACUAAGUCCUUCAACACACUUGUUCAAAUCCUCGGGAUCUUGAUAGUAGUUGAAUGUCACUGAAGGGUUAUCAUCUGGGUCCGUGUUCCGCAACUCCAAGUGACCUCUCGAGUGCGGUCCAUUCGUUUUCUGGAUAAUCACACCCGCUUGUGUCGUCACGUUCAAGCUAAGAUCCAAAGAGUCUAAAAACUUUGAGAUAGAGUGUGUAGGAAGUUUCAUCUGCAUUUAAAACAAAAAAAACAAGUCAUGUGUGUUUUAUGACAAUUUCAUAGCAUUUUAGUGCAUUAAUAAUUGGUAAUACCAUUUUAACAAGUUUCAGAACAGCAUCGAAGAAGCUACCGGUGAGACGAAGAGAGAGACUUAACCCACUUCCACCUUCAAUGUAACUUCCAGACUUGGUGAUCCCAACGGCUUGUACAAGGGACACUUCAACGGGUUCAGGAGAAGGGAUCAAAACGGGGUUCAUCGGGUUAUCAGCCAUCCCUUGUCCCACCAUGGGGUGAUCUACGAUGACCGGAUUCACCCCAUAAGCUGUGAGAUGGGCCUUAGGACCUACACCACUUAGCAUCAAUAGUUGUGGGCUCCCAAUGGCACCAGCUGAUAAGAUCACUUCAUUCGUUGAGUCUUGCGUUGCCAAUUCUGACUUGUGGACCACUCCAUUUGAAUCUUGAAAUAUCACCCCAAAUGCUCUUGGCCUCUGGUUCCCUAUCGAUUACAGUAUUUUCAUAUCCGGAGCAAUAACAAUAAUUGGGGUACGGUACUGUUCAAUGACAUACGACUGAUAACAACCAAACGAUCGCAAUAAUUGACUCAUAAACCAACAGCUGAUGAAUAGUCAGAGUAUUUAAUAUGUUAACAUAAGAAAAAUGACUGUUAUGCUUUGAUAUUUUGUGUUAAAAACAAAAUUUUUAACUAACGAAUAAACAAGAAAUCCAUAAAUACCAAAAAACUGUCGAAAAAUAUAAGUACUGUAUAUCUUAUUAGUCUUAACUAAAACACAAACACUCAAUUUUGAUUACGUGUAAUCUACGUAUCCUUUACUUUUUUUUUCUCCCUGCCCUAAACCCUAACGAGUCACUCCAUCGCUUCUUCAGUCAAAACUCAUAAACCUCUUAUCAUGGAAUAAAUUAAAGACAUAUAAGUAGUUAUACCUUUGGUAGUGAAGAGGAUUUUAUGGACAGAAGCAUGCAAGAAGACAACAAUGUUAUCCGGAUUAGCAUACUCCAACAAAUUCGCCGCCGUGUGUCUAUGACCAUCCGGGUCAAAUAUGGUACCACCAAACUUGGUCCCAAUGAUAUGUCUAAACGUGAAACCAUUGUUAGGACUCACACCAGCCUCCAAAAGCCCAUCUCUAAACGCAGAUUGCCAUCCCUUAGCCGGCGGUUGGAACACCAUCUUCUUCUCGACCCAUUCAUACGCAGCUUCGACUUCGUCUCUGUCCCAUCCUGCUUCCGCCAUGAAAUCUUCUUCCCCACGGGAGUAGAAUCCCGCGUUUAUCACGGUGCCUCCUCCGAGCACGCGCGCACGUGCGUUGUAAACGCCGUCUUCCGAGACGAAGAGCUGCGACCAUGAGUUUGGUGGAAUUAUGUCCAAGAGUGUGUUUACGAAGUUCCCUAUGUCUGUAGCAGCUGGAUUGUCGUAAGGAGACCCACCGCGUUCGAGAACUAAAACGGUAGCGUCUCGAGAGAGCGUUGCGGCUAAUGCACAUCCGGCGGUUCCUCCUCCGAUGAUAAUGUAGUCGAAGUGUGACAACUUUGGUGCUGAUGUUGCAUCUUUCAUAAAUCUAUAGUUUCCAGCUUCACGAUAACCAAAAUUUUCAGAAAGUUUGGAAUUGAUUUUAGUAACAGUAUGCUAAGAUAAACCGGAAAAAAAAAAUCAUAAAUUGAAUGAGUUAGUAAUGGGAAUUAACUAAUUAUUAUACCUUCAUCGGAAUAACACGAUGAGUCGUGGAAGAUGAAAACUGUGACGAUUAUCAAAUGAAAUAGUGGGAAAAUCUUUAUAACCAUUAUAGUGUAAAGGUUUAUAGUGUAAAGGUUAUUUAUUUGUUAUUUUGUUCUUUUAUUUUAUUUUUGAGGCAAAACUCAGUGGAGUUUUUAUAGACAAUUAAAUCACAAGAGAAUGAGCUAUCUCAUACUUUUCAAGACAAAGUCUUAUUCGAUGGUGGCCUAGCUUCAGCAGCCACUAAAUUUGCUGGCACAUUUAGGUCCAUAGACUAUAGUAUUAUUCUACUACUAUAUCUUCCAUGUUAGAUUUUGAUUUUAUAUAACAAUUAAUAUAUAUUGAUAGUGUUAUCCCCACGGUCCUUGUCAUACACAUUUUUCUUGCAUGUACAUAUUUUUUUUUUCCUCAACCAUACAUCAUAAUAAAAAGAUCAUUUAUUUUUCAAUAUAACAACAAACCAAAGAGAUUUGAUAAUCAGAUCCAUGUACAAAUAAUGAUCAGACUGCUUGUUAUCAUUGUCCAUAUUUAAAGAGGACCUAAAUUGUCAAAGUGAAAAUAAAUAAACUAUUUUUUCUUAAUAAUGAAACUUUUAUUCAUGCAAUUAUUCUAGGUCUUGUUCACAAUUACUAUACAUAAGUAACGUUUCAAAAUCAGAAUUGUUGAAAUCAUACUUGUGCAGAAGUAAUCCGUAAUUAACUAUGUCAUGGAAGAAAAUUGAAUAUGAAGGUCAAUAGCAAAAUUGCCUUACACCUCAUUUGGAGACUCAUUGCAAUGUCGAGACAAUGAACUUAUAAGGAUAAAGUAGGCACAUAUUUUCAAUAAUUAUUAUGUAUAUGUAUUCAACAUAUACUUUACAACGUAGAAGACAAUUAAUCUAGUUACAUCAUAAAACGCUCUUACAAGAUUCAUACAUGUAUGUCUUCAGAGCAUUUUCUAUUUGGACGAUGAAGGGGACUGUCUCAUCUGUCAUGACAAGAUUUAAUUUAAAAUCUCAUGUUUCUUCUUCUUUUCCAUGGAAAGCCGUUACGUUCUCUCUCGAAGAAUUUUCUGACCCAUGUACCUACACAUUACAAUUGUCCAACGUAAACUUUAAAACAUGUUAAAUCAUUUGUAUGUGUUUGCAUGCGUUUACCUUCCCAGCAUCAUGAUCGUGGCCUGGGGAUUAGUCCCUGGAGACUUGAGAAACGUGGAUCCAUCGAUGACCCUCAAAGCAUCAAUCCCUAAUACUUUGUAAUCGUUGUCGACCACUUUCCCAACUUGACAACCUCCAUGGUAAUGAUAUAUAGUCAUCACGGUAUCUUUACAAUACUGUUUCAAAUCGAACGCCGAGGUUAUGUGUCUUGGCCUCAGAUUGGUGGGAAGGGCAAGUAUGAGAUUCAAUAAUCCACGCCCACUCGAUCCAGGGUACUUGUACUUGGAGUACCCUUUCGAUUCUAUCACUUUGAUAAUGGUAUUAAAUCCUUCAACACACUUGUUCAGAUCCUCCGGGUCUUGGUAGUAGUUGAAUGUUACUGAAGGGUUGUCAUCUGGAUCUGUAUUUCGCAACUCCAAGUGACCUCUCGAUAGAGGUCCAUUCACUUUUUGGAUUAUCACACCAGCUUUUGUAGUCACCUUCAAACGAAGAUCCAAAGAUUCAAAAAGCUUUGAGAUGGGUUGCAUAGGAAGUUUCGUCUGCAUAAAGAAAAAUAGCAUAUUAUUUAGCCACGUCGAUCUUAUAACAAUUUCUUAGUGUAUUAAUUAUAUUGAUUAUACCUUUUUAACAAGAUUCAAAACAGCAUCUAAGAAGCUACGGGUCAAACUAAUAGAGAGACUUAACCCACUUCCACCUUCAAUAUAACUGCCAAAUUUGGUGAUCCCAACGGCUUGUACAAGAGACACUUCUACGGGUUCAGGGGAAGGGAUGAACACAGGGUGCAUUGGGUUAUCAGCCAUCCCUUGUCCUACCAUGGGGUGAUCUACGAUGACUGGAUUCACCCCAUGUGCUGUGAGAUGGGCUGCAGGGCCGACACCACUCAGCAUCAGUAGCUGCGGGCUGGCGAUCGCCCCAGCUGACAAGAUCACCUCAUUCAUUAUUGAGUCUUGCGUUGCCAAUUCUGCCGUGUGGUACACUCCACCUGCAUCCUGAAAUAUCACCCCAUAUGCUUUGGGCCUCUCAUUACCUGUCCAAUUUAUGUUAAACUUAAAUAUUAUAACUAUUCACAUAACAAUAUAUCAUUACUACGAAUAGUAUAUAAACAAAAAUCAUAAUACUUAAGCAAGUGUUUCAACUUUCAACUAACAAACACAAGUUGUGAUUAAAAUAAUCACAUGUAAGCUACGUACGUCUCUUUUUUAUUGGUUUUUUGUUGUUUGUCAGCUCUCUCGCUUCCUUGUAUUUAAUAAACAUCUGCUUAUGGAAAAAACAAAGACAUGUCUAUGACUUCGUUAUCAAUCAAUAGUCAAUAUACCUUUAAUAGUGAAGAGGAUCUUAUGGACAGAAGCAUGCAAGUAGACAACAAUGUUAUCCGGAUUAGCAUACUCCAACAAAUUCGCCGCCGUGUGUCUAUGACCAUCCGGGUCAAAUAUGAUACCACUAAAUUUGGUGCCAACGAUAUGUUCGUACGUGAAACCAUUAUUAGGAGUCACUCCAGCCUCUAAAAGCCCAUCUCGAAACGCAGAUUGCCAUCCCUUAACCUGCGGCUCGAAAACCACUUUCUUCUCGACCCACUCGUAAGCCGCUUCGACCUCGGCUCUCUCCAAACCUGCUUCCGCCACGAACUCUUCUUCCGCACGCGAGUAGAACCCCGCGUUUAUGACGGUACCUCCACCGAGCACGCGUGCGCGUGAGUUGUAUACGCCGUCUUGGGAGAUGAACAGCUGCGACCAUGAGUUUGGAGUUGUGUCCAAGAGUGUGUUUACGAAGUUCCCGAUGUCUGUCGCGGUUGGGUUGUCGUAAGGGGAACCGCCGCGUUCGAAAACUAAUACUGUAGCGUUUUGAGAGAGCGUUGCGGCUAAUGCACAUCCGGCGGUUCCUCCUCCGAUGACUAUAUAGUCGAAGUGAGACAACUUUGGUGCUAAUGUUGCGUCUUUCAUAAAACUAUACUUUCCAGCUAUUUGCAUAAAAUUUGGAGGUCAAAUUAGUAUACUAGGCUAUAACCGGAAAAUAAUAAGAAUAAGUUGAAUGGUUUGGUAAAAGGAACCUAACAAUUGUACCUUCAUCGGAGUAACACGAGUCGUGGAAGAAGAAAACUGCGACGAGAAUACAACGAAGUAACCGGAAAUUAUGAAAAUCCAUUACAGAGCAAAUAUUAUGUUUGUUGAAGUUGUAUAAGAAAGACUAUAUAUUUGUUUGUUUGGUUAUUUCUCUUUUGGGGUCAAGAAAGAAAAAUGAUUAAGGUUCAUACGGUAUAUAUAAAAGGCAAAGUCUUUUGGAGUAUUUAGAGAACCAUAUCUUUCACGGUUACGGCAAAGUCUUAUUCGAUGGUGGCUGGCUUUGGCUUCUUUAUUUUCUGGCACAUUUAUCAAGUCCAAAGACUUUGAUAUUUUGACAUUAAUCAUUAUAACAUAGUGUAGUAAUUCGUAAAUACGAUAUAUAUAUUUUUUUUAAAGUACGAGAUUUUAAUUCUUAGCACACUGUUCUUAUUAUACUCGUACUUUUUGCAGCCUAUAUAAAAAGUUUGGUUUGUUGUACCUAAAAAAAAAAGUAAACUUGUCAACCAUCAUACAUUGCAAAAAAAAAAAAAUUGGAUACCAAAAAUUUGGAAGAACAAAAGUGUUUAUAAAGAUAACAUCAUCGAGUAUAAUCCAAAAAUACGAACAGAAUCAACAAAUUUUUCGAAGCAAACCGAAUUGACCUAACAUGUUUUGUUGUAAUUAUUCGUUCGUUUUCUUGUUUUUUUUUGUGUGUGUGUAUACUUUCUGCACUUUACCAUAUAUUUUUUAGAAGUGAAGAGGCUGCACAUGACCCGAUCCUUAAUGUAAGCAGACGGACCUAAUUUGUUGACUUGACAAUAAAUAUGUAUCUAUCUAAUUUCUUUUACUAAUAUUGAAGCAUAUUGACUUGUUCUCUCAUGCAAUUAGUGAUUGGCAUCGUUAUCGUGAUGAGCUACACCAAAAAGUUGAAUAUCAUUACACUUACACAUCGAUGGCAAACUGGUAGUUGGAGUUUUAAAGAAGACUGUCCAAAUGUUGGAUUGUUGGGUAUUAAAGCUGAAACUUAACCAUAAAUAGAAAAGAGAACUAAUCAAAGAGAUGUGAGAAUACUUGUUUUCAUUGGUUAAAAACAUAAUGAGCAGUUCUGUAACUUUCAAUGGAAGUCCAAGUGAAUCCUCAAUCCUAAUGAGAGUUUGGCUUAUGCAUAAGUAAUACCAAAACAUGAAACAAUUCAUCAUAAAUUGAAAAACUUGAAAACAAAACCACCAAAUGUCUCCAUAGAGAAAUUUACCACUAUUAUCAUCCAUACUACUUCCACACAUUAAUUUUAUUUUUUUUAAAGCACAGAAGGAAGAAUCACUUCCUAAGGUUCAUAUGACAUUGUCAAAACCUAACAUCACAGAUUCUAUUGACCUUGACGAUAUCUGAUGGUUUCUCAGCUAUACAGCAUGUGAUAGAACCUGUCAAGAUCAACCCAGCGUGUUUACAAACUUAUUAACUUUGAUUCUUGAGCUCACCACAAUCUUCAAUAACAACUGGUUCAGAGGUAUUUCCCCUGUCAGAUCCAACAUCUUCCAUAGCCUUCACCACAUUGUACCCAUCAACAACUUUCCCAAAAACGACGUGUUUCCCAUCGAGCCACGAUGUCUUCUCAGUGCAAAUGAAGAACUGAGACCCAUUAGUGUUGGGGCCAGAAUUAGCCAUAGACAAAAUCCCUGGACCAGUAUGCUUCAGCUUGAAGUUCUCAUCAUCAAAUUUAGAACCAUAAAUCGAUUCUCCUCCAGUUCCAUUCCCACGGGUGAAAUCUCCACCUUGGCACAUGAAUCCUGGGAUAAUACGGUGAAAGGCUGAGCCUUUGUAGUGUAAUGCCUUUCCUGCUUUCCCAAUUCCCUUCUCUCCGGUGCACAGAGCACGGAAAUUAUCCGCUGUUCUCGGUGUUACAUCAGCAAAUAGCUCCAUUACAACACGCCCUGCCUUCAUCUUUCCAAUCAAGAUGUCAAAGAAGACUUUUGGGUUCGCCAUUUCUCUCAGGUUUCACUAAUCCUGUCAAUAACAAAAGUUAUGAUUCAGCAAACUAAAGUAUGAACCAAACCAUGAAUUUGAAUUUAGCAAAUAAUGAAGACCCGUUUCAAUCGUAAGUCGUAGAUAUGACUUCUACAAAACUCUUCUUAAUUCCAACACAGUCAGACACACAACUCAAAAAGCCUCAAACAGUUCAAACAACAACAACUGUCAGAUUCAAAUGCUACUAAUGUCUGAUUUACUCAAUUCAAAAGAAUAGGGACUAAAUUGUUGAUUCAUAUAUUGAACUCUAGCCAAAAUGUAAAUCAUAACAUCAAGGAAGAAAUGUCCCACCCAUCAAAAUUGUCGAUAAGAAAGGUAAGUUCUUAUAACACAGAGAUCUUUUUCAAUCUCAAAAUGGAUGGUUUUAGAAUAUUGCACAAAUAUUGAGCUCGCAGGCGUUUUUAAUUAUACGUUAUCUGCAAGCCUUCGAUAUGUGCUUCUACGCAAUACAAUGCAAAAAAAAUUGAGAAACAAUUGGAUUAAAGUGAAGCAAAACCAUCGAAAUGAAGUACCUUCGCAGAAUGAUACUCCAGACCGUAGAUUUAACUUGGGUGAUGCGAGUGAAGAUUUUAUAUAACGGCUCAGCAGCACAAGGGAUGUGGGGGCUAGGGUUUUACCAGGGCUUUUGGAUUGUUUGAGACAGAGUGAUCUCUGUAUUUUGUCGGUUUUAUCCUCUUACUUUUCAUGUUUUACAUUCUUACCAACCCUAACAGGCUGACCAAUAAGCCCAUUUUAUGAUUUAGGCCCAUUAUCGAAACUACCGUCCAGAGUUAUAUUCAAUCGUUUCGUUAGACCCAACAGCCCAAAUUUCAUAUUGGUUUACUCUUAUAUCAACGUAUCAAAACUAAACAUGAAUCAAACAAAUUGAAGGUAAAAAAAAAAGUACUUAAAACUUGAAUUGAAAGCUUCUAGUUAAAGGACACAUUAUCACAAUAAUUUCGCCUUCAGUGUCAUUCCUAUACUUUCCAAGCCAAAAAAAUUAAGAACAUCCUCACCAAAAAAAUUCAUUGAACAACCCUAAUCGAAAAAGAAAUGAACAAGAUUCCUUAGAGAGGAUUAAAAUGUUGUGUUUACGGACGCCACGAAGACUUCACGCCAACCAGGAAUUUUCCUCUGUACACAUUUGUUGACCAUCGCAGAGAUAAUAGAAUAGGGUUUAGCUUCUUUAGAAUUUCAACGGUGUCUUGUACCACAAGAUACCCUCCUGGUCUUACUAUUCUGUCUAUUUCUACCACCACCUCCAUCAAAUCACACCUGAAAAAUAUCAAAACACAAAAAGAACAUAUACCUUUUGAUGCAAAUCUAAACACACAAAAAAACUACAAAAGCAUUCUCAGUCGAAGAAUCAUAAAUUUUACCUUUGAGAAAGAUUGGUUAGAAGGAAACUAGAGUGCAAGAGAUCAUAUGAUCUUGGAUAUGUAUUGAACGACUCACACCAAUCAUGGUAUAUCCCUAUCAAACCUCUAUCGAAAAUGGUUGGUAACGUGUCUUCACCUUCCACAGGAAUCACAUUCAUUACCCAGAGAGGUUUGUUUAUAAGAGCAGCAGCAAAUCUGAAUUAAAGCAAAUUAUAGAUGAGCCAAGAGUAAGCAAGAGAUGAUUAUUUCUUUUGUGAACUAUAUCGAAAUAUUAAAGAUUCUCUCACCCUCCAUAGCCAGCGUUCAUGUCCAUAACAUUGUGGAUCCUGCUCCAGUUUAUAGCUAAACCGUUUAGGUAGAUAUUUGAUAUAGUUCCAGCCCAGAGUUUAGUGUCUUGUUUGAAACUCUCUUCACCGCUCUGUUCUGUCAAAAGGCUAACCGGUGUCUCAGUUAACCUUCCAGGCCAUACGGAAGGCCAUUUUCUGGUUGGACCGACCGGUAGUUUUGGUAGACAGGUAAGCAGAGGAGUAUACCUGUUAUUCGAAAAAACAUGUAUUGGACCAAAAAACUCUGUUUUUUUCUCUCUUGAGAUGAAACAAAAAGUAGGAUAACAUGUCAUUACCAUGAACUGUUCUUCUUAGUCUCUUCUUUGAAACAAAGAGGCGGAUCUUUCUCCUUACGAGAUUCAUAGCAAGAAUCAGAGUCUGGUUUCUGGUAUAUCACGAAGCCAACUUUUGUGAAUCGAGUUCUAGCCACAACUUUCCAACACAUUGAUGUAGUCAAAGACUCCAUUGCUGCAGAAGAAACACACACAAAAGCACAUCAUUCAUAAACUUUUUCUGUAUUCUUAUUAAAACAUAAUCAGUAUAAGAUUAACAACACUUAAUACUAACUUUUCCAAACAUUACGGUGUUCUUCAUCGUGUUGAUAAACCGGUGUAGCUGACCAAACAAAAAACCCUCCAGGCCUUAGAACCCGGUUAAGUUCCAGAAGUGGUCUACCACCUGCAACAACAUAUUUUCAAAACAGUAUCAACAAAGCAAUGAACUUCUCUGAUUCAAAAAAUUAAGGAUAUAUAUAUAUUGAGUGUAUCAACCGUAUCCGUGCCAAUGGACUCUGCAUCUAGCGCAAUGGAUAACGUCGUAAGCAUUAUCAGGAAAAGGAAGCUUUUGAGUUCCAAUAACAGCGAGAGUAGCUGGAAUCCCUCGUUCUAGUGCGAACUGAAUCUGAGCUUCGUGUUCGUCUUUAGGAGCAAAUGACAUUGUGAUCACGUUUUUAUCAAGCAAAGUCCCACCAAAGCUUGCCACACCACAACCAACAUCAAGAACCACUCUUACUUUCUUCCCCCAAUCAAGAACAUGUAACGUCUGUAAAAAGAAAACCGUAACUUAGUAAACAGAAUCAGUGUCUUGGUUAUGUAUUAUAUGUUUUAAACCUUUUGAAUGAAGUUGAUGUAGUGAAUAACACCGUCUUUGAAUUGAGUUCCUCCUCCAGGGAAGACAAAGAAAGGUCCGGAUUUGCGCACCCAAUUCUGAUCUUUCUUGUAUUCUACAAGCUUCGGGUGAGGAACAUUGUCAUACCAAAUCUGCAGAAACAAGAAUUUAAAAAGCAUGAACAAUCACAAGAACUAACUACUCUAAAUCAACAUAACAAGAACCAAGAAAGCCUUAUCUCUUUUUUGCAAGAACCAAGAUAAACUGUAAUGAAAGAAAAGAUCUUACCGAAAAAAUAGAAACAAGUCUCUCACCAUAUCCCUGCUCUGAGGCCAAGGAAGAGGAACCUUGUAGCGUUGUGGCAAAGGAACCAAACAUUUAGGUGCAGGCUCAGGGCAAUGUCUCUCUCUGUGCUCCAUGUUCCUCUUGGACUUGAGUUUCUUGAUAGCUUUUGUGUUAUCCAAACAAGGUAUGUAAUCUGGACUCUCACAUCUCUUCCAAUCCAGGGGCAAACUCACAUUCCAUUCUUUGUCGUCUUUAAGCCAAUCCGAUUCCAAACCUUGAUCAAUCGGAUGAUCAUCGACUCGGGUCUGAGCAACCGGUGGUUCCGGAGGAGAUGAUGAGUCGUUGGUGGGACUCGAGAUUGGUGUGGAGAUGGGGAUGUCGGAGAGGGAAGAUCGACGGAGAUAAGAGAGAGACAAGUAAGGGAAGAGAUCGAUGGUGUCAUUAGUUAAGAGGAGGAUCGUGACUGAUACGAGCAAGAUUGAGAGAACACAGAGGCCUGAGAAUUUUCGACUUUGGAAGAUGUUCUUGAUCAUUCUUUCUUCUGUUUCCACACAACAAAGCAGAGAGAGAGAGAUACUCUGACCGAUCUUUAGAGAAGAGUAGAGAAGAGAGAUGUUGUAGUUAUGUGCAAAGAGCUAAAAAUAGAAAACAAGAGUGGCAAUAAAUAAAUAUUAUAUGACAUGACAUGUGUCAUGCUAUUACUUGCUCUGACGUGAUGCGAGAUAUGGAAAGUAAUCUUAAAUCUUUAUGAAGUUAUGAUUCUAUUUGUAUAGUUUGAUGUGCAAGUUCGUGGAUGAGAAUACAAAAGCUCGAAUUGGUCUAAUCGUUAAACCGGACAUCUUAUUCUACUUAAACCGGUCAAUCUAAUGAGCUUAGCUUCCUGUGUAGCCUCUUUGCCUUUGUGUUUCUCAAUAAUUCAAUAUGCUACAUAGAAUGUAAGACCACAUUAAAAAAAAAAAACUGUCAAAACAACAAGAAUAUGUCAUUUACUUGUUAAAAGCUCAAGAAUUGAUGGAAAUGCAAAAGCUAUCAAUAUUGCCAAAAUUAAUCCUCAUGUGAACAAAUUUGUUUUGAUAAUUGAGUUAUUUGUUUGUGAACGUAAAAAAUAAAAAGAGAUUAUGAUCCUAAUACAUAUCUAAUUGUCUAGUGAGUGAGUAUAAGUAAGGCCAUAUUAGAGAGAGAUGAGAAUCAAAUUAUGUAAAUAUGGUGAGUCUCAUCCACCGCUUUAGCCAAAAUCUAGAAAGAAACAAAUGGUGUUUAAUAUUAAAAAAAAAAAAAAAAAGUCAAUAUUAAUCGCCCACCGUGGGGCUCGAACCCACGACCACAAGGUUAAGAGCCUUGCGCUCUACCAACUGAGCUAGACGGGCUUGUUGUAUGUGUUCUUCGUCUAAAUUCAAUAUAGCAAACAUAUUCUUUUUUAGGGACUAGAUAGACACUGCUACUACUAGGGGCCCAUGACAUAUUGACAUGUAAUCAAAUAAGUUUUUUUUCCAUUUUUUCGAAUUUAUAAGUUCAUUGAUAUUUCAAGUUGACAUAUCUAUACAUAUGAAAAAUAAUUAGUUGUGUUUCAUGAUCAUUGAUAUUAAAAUGAAGAAAUAUCAGCAAACUGUUUUUCAGAGAUUGAUUGGUAUAUGUUAAGAAUGACAAGUUAUUUAGCUAAGCUCACAUACACCAAUCAUUAUCAAUUCUUGUCAGUAUGAUGAUACACUCACACAGCACUCUACAAACUUUGGUACGAGUUUACUACACUGAUUACUGAUCCCAUUGGAAGACCACUUUGUGUUUUUUUUUCUUGGAUGCAGAAAGUUUUGGUACCACUUUGUUACCAAAAUGAAAUAAAACACUGUACUUUCAUGCGGGGGUAAUGAAAUAAUAGAGUAGCAAUGCCCAUUACAUUACACCUCAAAACAACGGCUGAUUUGAAAUGGUCUCAAGGAAACUGAUAUUACGAAAUGGUCAAAACCAUAAUACUGAAAAUCUUAAAAAGAAGUUAACUCAAGAAACAUAAUAUCUUGUUUCUCUCUCACAAAAGAACAGAUACUAAAUCAAGUCUUCUACCUCACAAGUUACAUCUCAUCAUACUCAAAAUAACUCGAAAGUUAACCAAACUGCGAGGAGUACAGCUAAAAAAUGCGAUCAAGCAGCACCAAGAAGCUCCUGAUCGAAAUGCCAUGUUCCUGUAUACAAAAAAAAAAAAAAAACACAAAGUGUGAGGCACGAAGUGGAAGAAUUGAGGUAUGUGCAGAUAUUAGUUUAAAAGUGAUUAAACAAAUGCUUACCAUGUCCUUUGCCGAGUCUCCUAAGUUGAGAAACAUAUUCUGAGAUUUUCUUAAUCGCUUCCACCUGCGAAAUGAUGUUAUUUUAAGUCAAUUAGAUUCCAUUUUUUGAAAGAUCCAGAACCGCAUAUCUUAGCCACUAUCAUAGAACGUGUCUGUGUUUUGUUUACCUGUUCGUUCAGAAACACACUCUCAAUAAAAUCUGCCAACUGGACAUCAUCGUUCUUCGAAGCCACCUGUUGACCACAUUAUUCAAAUGCCAUAUUGUAUUAAGAAACUACUAGAUUAUGACUUGAAUGCCAUAAACAAGAAUUGGAAUCUUAAGGAGAGAGAUGGAUGGUCUUACACUGUGCAGGUUUAGGAGCUUCUCAUUGACUAGCUUCUCCAAUGAGAGAGCAAGCUCCAUGGCUGCAACAACAAACAACAUUAAAAUUAUGCAUUCCAAACUUAUAAACUCAAACGGAAAUAUGAACCACAAUCACUAUGUUAGAUGCUAAUGAAACCACAAUCUCCUCUUUAAUAAUAACAUCACACCAAUCUCAGAAACGGGAAAAAAGAAGCUUACCAUAGAGAGCAUCUCCUUUCUCAGGGUGAUCAAACUCAGACUGAGGCAGAACCAUGGGCUGUAACUUGACCCUCCCACCACGCUUGUUCUGUAGAUCAAGGAAACAAAGGAUGUUAUCAUAAACAAUCCUCAAACGAUGGGGCUUAUGAAAAAUGAAAUCGUUGGCUAAGAGACCUGAUACUCCAUCAACAGCUCAGCGUGCUCCCGCUCUUCCACACUCGAAUCCUUGAAAAAUCUGAUUAACAAAACACCAAACCACCCAUCAAUCAACACACACAGAGUGUUUCAAUAAAUUAGCAAAGGGAUUUCAAUAAACUCGUAAGUGUUUCCAGAAAAACUCACUUGGCCAAACCCUUGAGGGCAACAUUAUCACGAUCAAAAUACGCAUACAGAGCGUGGUAAACGUACGAUACGUUAUACUCCACACUGCAACAAACGCAAAUCCAGAUUCAUGAGAUACAACUCAAAAAGCUACUAAUCUCAGGGUUCAAAGCAAAAAUGGACUCAAUCGACAGAUUUACAACACAGAAUUGUUCCAAUCUAUGACUAAAAAAAAUCAUCAACAAUACAGGACGAGUAAAAACGUACUUGAUCUGCUCGUUAACAGCGGCUUCGCACUCAGAAGAGUACAAAUGACGAGCAAGAGAAAGGUGCUGACCAGAUGGAACAAGAUCUAGCUCCUUCUUUACCUCUUCGAAAGGCUCGAACACAACGCCGCUCAAGGUGCUUGAACCCUUGGUAGCACGGAGAGCGAAGGAGAGACUCCCGGAUUUUCCAGAAGAAACUGCAGGAGACGAGACGGAGGAGAAGAGAGGAGAGAUGUCUUUCUUCUCUCCAUGAAGGUUCAAGAGUGAGAAAGCAGAAGCAGCCUUGAGAAGCAUUUUUGUUGUUUUUUUUUCCUGAAGAAAAUUUUCAGAUUUAUCUCUCUCUCUGUGCAAACGAAAUUGGAGGAGAAAGAAAGGGUUUUGUGGUGUGAGGCGACUAGUGGGCGGAAGGAGGUAAUAUAAAUGGAUGAUGAGGCUAUGGAUGAACGACACGUGGAUGGACGAGAUUAAGAGGUGGGUUUAGGAGCGUGUCAGGCGUGUGGUACUACUGCUUUGCUGGAAGAUAUUUUUUAUUUCUCUCCUUGUUUCUUGUGUAAAUUUGGACUUUUCCUAAUUUUACCUUUUCGGCUUUUUCUGUAAAGAGAAAAAAAAAAGUUCUUGGUCAGGAAAAACGAAAUAGGAAUAAACUCAAUAAUGUUUUUGAAAAGAUUAUAAUGUGAUUGGGAUGAUUUGAACAAGCGCAAACCUUACCAUUAGUCAUUACGAAAUAUAAAAUUCACAAUUUUAUUUUCUUUGUCUAAAGGUUAAAAAAGAGUUUUAAAAUUCAUAUCAUCUUCUAAAAGAUAUCACUAUAGUAAGACACCAAGUGCAUUUUGAUUGUAAAUGUAGUAGAACCUACGUUAGGAUUAAGCAAGUGCCUAACUUUGUAUGUGUUGAUGUUUCAGCAAAUGCGUGAUCGAUCAUUUCAUUCUUUGCAUAGGUCUUGUACUUAUUGGAAUUUGGUAAAGACGUUCUAACCUUCUUAAUGUUUCUCUCCUUUUCGGUAUUAUAUUUUGUGUGCCAAUUUGAAACUUACCUAAAUAUUUUUACUGUAUAUGGUGAAUAGAAUGUUGUGUAGUAGCCUUCAGUUUUUCAUUCAUGCUCAAGAAACAGGAGAGACUACUUGUUGAAACACAAACUAUUUACAAACACAAACUGAUAGAUAAAAUGGUUCAAAACACUGAAACAAAGAAGAAUCAAACUAGUUGGACGAAUUAAAGAAUUGCAAAAAAACCUACUAUUACUACUCUGCAACAUUCCAAAACUACCAAAAUUCUCCACUCUUUUCUAUUGGCUUGUGGAAGCAGAAGCUUCAGGAACAUCAAUCAACGGUUCGGAUGUUGUUGUUGUUGUUGUCUCUUCAGGUCUAAUCUCUCCGAGCUGUGUCAUCACUUGUUGAGCUUCAGGUCUUGUUGACGGUGUUGGAUCAACACAAUGCAACGCCAGUUUCAGUGUAUUCAAAAUCUCAUCACCCAUUGUGUUCACAUCAUUCAACAGCUCCAAAUCGAAAACCUCAUUAGUCCACUCUUCUUUAACCGCAGUAGCAACCCAUUGAGGCAAAUCCACGCCGUUUAAGGCCUCACUCGGAGAUUUACCAGUCAAAAGCUCCAAUAUGAUCACACCUAGGCUGUAUACAUCGGUUUUCGUGUUAGCUUUCUUCAGCUUAGAGAGCUCAGGUGCUCUGUAACCUAAAGCACCAGCUGUUGCAAUCACGCUUGAUCCUGCUGCUGCCGUCAUUAGCCUCGAAAGACCGUAAUCUGAAAUCUUGGCGUUGAUGUUCUCAUCCAAAAGCACAUUGCUUGAUGUUAAGUUUCCGUGGAUGAUAUUAGCGUGCGUGUGAAGGUAGAACAAGCCUCGAGCCAUUCCCUUUAUUAAGCUCAUCCUUGUAGGCCAAUUGAUAUGAACAUCUGGUCCUCUUGCUGCAAUUUCAAGCAUGAAAACAGAGUUAUGAAAUGUUACUUUCUUUGGCAAAAAUAUUACAACACUUUGUGGCUUUUCUAGCAAUAGUUUUAAACUUUACCAUGGAGGAAUGUGGCAAGACUUCCUCUAGACAUGUAAUCGAAGACGACAAGCUUCUCUCCCUUGGGGCCUAAGUAAUAAGCUCUAAGUGCAAGGAGAUUCGGAUGCCUGAUUCUUCCCAACACAUUAAUCUCAUUCUCGAACUCCUUCUGGCUUUUGGUGAUCUUUUCUCUCAACCUCUUCACUGCAACUUGACUUCCAUCUUCAAGUGUAGCUUUGUAAACUGUACCAUACGUGCUUUUCCCCAUAAUCUCUGCGGUUGCACACAGAAGAUCAUCUGCAGUAAACGCCAUUGGCCCAUCAAAAUGAACCAGCUUCCCUCCGGUUUCGCCUCCAGUUUCUGCUUCCCCUCCUUUUUCGGUCUUCCCUGUUGCAGCUCCCUGUCCAGCCUCUCCGCCCUUUGCUUUGGUUUCAUUAACUUUUUUCCUCAGCAAGCAACAUAGAACACAUACAAGGAUAAGCAUAACUAUGAGGAGUGCUCCAGAAGCAAUGAGGAUGAUGUCUUUGGUACUCAGAUUCCUGUGGGAUGAUUUCUUUUCUUUUUCAGGAGACGGUGAGGGCAGAGUUGGACAUGGCGUUGAGACACUGUAUCCACAAAGCUGCAAGUUACCGACGAAAGAGGAGGCGUUGAACUUUUGGGACAAGGGAGUAGGAACAGGACCAGAUAAGUUGUUAUAAGAGACAGUGAAGAAGCUAAGGCUUUUCAGAUCAGAAAUGGAGAUAGGAAUCUCUCCGGUAAGUUUGUUUUGAGACAAAUCCAGAUGUGUAAGAGAAGAAAUGUUUCCUAGAGAUUCAGGGAUCUUGCCACUUAUACUGUUACUGCUAAUAUCCAUUGUUCUAAGCUUAGUGAGUUUGCUUAACUCAGAAGGCAGGGUUCCACGGAUCCUGUUAUGACUAAAGGACAACUCUUGCAGCUGAGUUAGGUUGCAGAGUGAAAAUGGGAAUGGACCAGAGAGAGUGUUGUGACCAAGAGAUAAGACACGGAGACUAAGAGACUUACUACCCCAAGUAUCUAAGAUUGGACCAGAGAGGUUGUUAUGGUCAAGAGCAAGAAACUGAAGAGAAGGAGAACGAGAGAGGCUCACUGGGAUUUGACCAGAGAGUGAAUUGAAGCUGAGAUUAAGCCUAAGAAGCUUAGAAGAGUCAGCAAGAUUCGGUGGGAUAAUCUCAGAGAGCAAGUUAUUGCUGAGAUCAAGCAUUUGAAGGAAACGCGAAACACCGAGCGAAGCAGGGAUUGAGCCAGUGAGACGAUUGUUGAAAAGCUGGACUCCUCUGAGAUUAGGAAUGAGCCCCAAGGACAUUGGAAUCGAGCCUCCAAGGUUGUUGUCAUGAAGACUAAGCUUGCGAAGAGCUUGAAGCUGUCCGAUUUUCUCAGAGAUCCUACCACCAAGACUCUUCCAUGGGAGUUGAAUCACAAUGACUUGACCUUGAGCACAUUUGAUACCAGACCAGCCUCCAGAGCAAGCGCUGAAUCCAGAACCGUUCCAGCUUCUCAAGAAUCCUCUCGGAUCAAUCAGCUCUUGUUUAACUGCUUGAAGGCCUUGGUAAUCAGCUUGUGUGAUCACUACACCGUCCCAUGCUUGGCUCGAGCUGGGAGGGACGAAGAAGAGGAGGAGCACGAUCAGGUGAAGAAGAAAGCAGCUUCGAAGUGAAGCCUUAGGUUGAUCAAUGGUGGUGUUGAUCAUACUUAAAGAAGGGAAAUCAAAGAAAGCUUGGUUUUGAGAAAUAAACUCCAUUAGAAGAGAGAAGAAGAGUUUGAGAAUGUUUAAGAGUGAAAAGUAGCUCUGAGGAGGAUAGAACAGAGGAAGAUUUUGGAUUUGAAAGAGUUUUGUAAAGUGAGAGAUGUGUUUCGUUGGAAAAGAACAACACAGCACGUGACCAUCUUAGAGAGAGAGAGAAUCUUGGUGAGUGUUGUUUUUAUCUUCUAGUGAGAGAGAGAGAGGAGGGGGAGACAAAGAUCAGGUGAUGGUAAUAAGAGGUUGAGGGGUGGGAACAGUGGCUCUCUGCUUCUUUGCCUAUAAUACUAAAUGAGCUCCAACGGCUAGUUUUCAUUUAUUCAUAUUAAUUAUUUAGUGUUUGAAACUAACACUUUGUUUUCUUCGAUGGGGUGUGGUCACUCUUGCUCAUGUUAUUUUGUCUAACGGUGUUUGUUAAAUUUUUUUAUUACUAAUUAACUACAAAAUGUGUCAUUGGGAAAUUGGAAUCACUUAUUUUCAUAAGAUUGUAGAUCUUUCUUUUUAUAAAAAGGUUUGGUUUAUUAGUAUCAAAAACGAUAAAAUCAUCAAUCACACAAUACAAACAUGUUGGUUCUGACAAAGAUUAUAAAAUCAUAAAACAAAAAAUGAUUUUGACAAAGAGUAUUACUCAUAGUUCAAAUUUGAACCAGUAAGUAAUACGAUAUUUAACACUCUAAUUUACUCGGUUAGUUUGUAACAUUUGUGAUUUCUUGGAUAGAAAAUGGAAAACAUAAAUAAAGUACUAGUUUUGGAUGUGAGGUCAACAAUAUUUUUCUUAAUUUUAUUCCAAAUCUAAAGAAAGAGAUCAAAGUAUAGUUCGUCUGAAUAAAGUAAAAUAAAGCAGACACAGCAUUUAUUUUAAAUUCUUUUUUUGUUAUUGUGUUUUGCAGACCAGCUUCGUUUAGUGCGCCGGAGCUGGUGCCCUAAAUGGACACGAACAACGAACCGCGCUCCUUCACUUCUUCUCCCAACGGCUAUAUUUUUGUGGGACCUACAAGCCAGUGGAUCACACUCACUAGUGAAGAAGCCCAAAGUUAAAAACGAAGAAGACCAUUUUCAUUUAUAUUUAAUGACUUAUAUAGUGCCCCUUCGAACUGGGAAGUAAUAAAAGUGGUGUACUAGUUUAAGAAGAAGAAGACGCCCUACUUUUUAAACUUGAAAGUGAAACUUUUCUCGUCUUACAAUUAUUAUAAAAAGAAAAGAGGAGAAGGUUUGGGUGUGUGUCCCGUACGAGGUUAUCAUAUUAUGUUAUUGUUGACGUUUGAUCUAUCUUUGCUUUUGUUUCUUUACUACUAUUACUAAUGCUAGUUGCUGCUGAUUUGUACACAUCUAACUCGAUUGGUAUGCAGCUUUUUAAAAUAUAUGUAUCUUCCUUGCAUAUACAUUUUCCAAUUUGAACACAUUUUUCAAUUUGAACACAUCUUCUCAAUCUCCAAACCAAUCCUGACCAUUUCUUUUGCAAAGGUUUGAAAGAGUAAAAUUCUGGAGAUACUCUCUCUUACCUUGAACUCAUGUGAUGUCAUGUAUUGUAUUUGCUAUCACAAGAACUGUUUGUCUCAAGUCUCACAUUAUUCUUGCAUAAAGUUUGGUGGAAUCGAAACAAGAUGGUUUUUCAAGGAAGCUUUUAUCAAACUGAUUAAGCUGUUGCUAAAGCAAUUAGAGUUCUCCUUGAAAUCUUGUUAGACCCGGGGGAAUUGAAGACCAAAACUAUACCAGAUUACCCACUAAGUUCAGAAAAUCUUUCAAAGUUAAGUAUACACAAACUAAUAACCAUCAACCUCGAACACCAAAGCUUAGCCUAAUUUUGUAACCAAUCAUCAAUGCCUUACUCUUUUAAUCAGAUCACCUUGUGUUCACCAAAUCCUUUAAACAUUAAGUGCUAGAUUUCCAACUAUAGUUUGAUUCUCGUUUUGUAGAUCUAUUGUUAUCAUGCGUUUCCAUAUUCUUCACCUUUAGUAUGGUAGCAAACAACAACACCAACUUAAGAUAUAUAAGUAUUGUGAGCUCGAUUUGACCACCAUAUCAUUCACAUAGCUAGAUCUAACCUAUAAAUUAAAUUUUGGCCAUCUGAUCAAGCUUCCGGAAAAGGAAAACCAAGGCAAUCAUAUCUGUUCCAUACUUACAUACUGAGCAGAUAUAUGAGAUAACCGCAAUUAAAGAAGAACUAGCCACUAGACCAUCAAUAAAACAACUAUGGUAAACGCAAGAGAUUUCAUGUGCGCUGUAUUGAAUAUAAUAACAAAUCUCAAAUAAGAAGAAGACACACCAACUACUAAAAAGAAUUUUACCAGUCCUACCCUAACGAUCCAAAGCGCUGUUCUCUAAUUGACUGGCUACAAUCCUUUACAAGCCACAAUGAAAUGGAUCAUUUAAACAAAGAAUAUCGAACAUGCACCAAGAAGUAUAUCUAGACAAUCUACAGAAAUCACCUAAUAAGUUCGAACACCAUAUAGCCUUUUGAAACUACUAAGUUUUCUAGCUAAGUGCUUCCAGAUCAAACUAUUAUGUCACUGAAUCUCCAUUAAACUGCUAAAGAAUCCUAAACACAAAUAGAACCACCCCAAUUGCAGCAAUAUCCUUAUUCGUUUUGGUGACCAAUGCUCUGAAAGUCACUGCCACUGAUAAAGGAAACAAGAGAACAGACUGAAUGAAGGGAGAUGAAAAUUUAACAGUGAAUCCCAAAUUAGGAGAACGAUAGAGAAAGAGCAACUUUGAGUUUUCUACAUCUGAACAUAAAAGUGUCGAGCCACCAAAUAGAAAAACAACACAAGACGAAGCAGAUAUUGCAACCAAAAAUUCGUAGUUCUAAGUAUGCUGAGCUUCGUUACGAAUCUACAUUCAAAUCAACAACACCAAAUCCCUAAAAUCAGUACGGAGUAACCAAUCAUAAUUGUAAUUAAAAGGCACGAAUACUCAUCUCAACUCCAGGUUGCUUCGUUGACGAGAUCUGAAUCGAAUCCAGCUCUUAAACUCUCCCCGAGACAGCUGCAGCAGCUGAGGUAGCAGAACCUCCAAGGAAUGAGAGUAAUCCAGCAUUGGCAGGCUCUUGAUCGUCCAAGAAGAGAUCAUCAGGAACCACAAAAGCACCGUGUACGCAAACAAUCGCAACACCAACCAUAAGCGCAGAGGUUAAGAGAGAUCCAACGCUCGUCAUAAACACGACGACGAUCGUAGACAAGACAAGAGCAAGCAAGGUCUCUCGAUCAGAGAAAGUGCGACCGAAGACGACCAAUGGCUGAUCUGAUGGCCGGAAGAGGUAAAGGAACAUCCACCCACUUAGUAGACCGAGCAGCACGAGAAGGGAGAGAGGAUGAGAGAAAAGCGAAAAGGCGAGCACGAGGGAGACGAUGGCGACGUAGUUAACCUUGAAGUAGGCGAGAUUCUUCCUGAUCCGGGACAAGGCAUCGGUGAGAGAUUCAGGACGAGCCAUGGAACUCCGAUCGACUAGCUCCGUCCAAGGACGACGCUGUGACAAGCCAUCACGGAUCGAGGUGGAGAGGCGUGAGAAGAAAGUACGAAAAGCAGGUGUGUUGAUUGGAGGCUGAGAUUGAACAGCUUGCUGAUUGGUGACAGGUAGCGUCGGUGGAGUUGCCAUGGCGGUGGCGCGUGAAGGUUAGAUGCGGCUGAUCUGGCCCUGAGCUUCCCGAUCUGUAAGCUUGAACGAAAAUAAUCAAUAGUUCUGUAGUUCUGCUCAAUCAGAGCUCGUGUAGAUUAGAUAUUUUGAGGGCCUGAGUCUGACUCUGACCAUAAAGGUUGAGCCGGCCCAAAUACUCAAAGUCGCCGGUUCGAUUCCGCCUCUUGCCUUUUUCGCAGUAAUCUUUCCUUUUUUUUUUUUGGGGGAUUUUUUUAAUCAAACCCUAAAAAUACCGAGAGCGCACGACUAACCUUGACGUCUUUACUGACGGGCGCCACGGUUUGGUGGUUCGUUCUUCAUCUUCCGCCGAUUUCUUCACUCGGCUCUGUUUUCUUCUACUUCUUCUUCUCUUGAACACUGUAAAACGACAUCGUUAGCACCAUGUUUGAUGAAAGCAAGUUCGAUGUCAAUCUCAAGCUGUGGGCUCUAAGAAUUCCCCGUGAACUCUGCAAAAGUGCAACUCGCAUUCUCAAUGGGUACGUUUCUUCAAUAACACAAAUUUAGUGAGCUAAGAAUCAUAUGACUUUCAAAAAUGUGUUCAAUAAGUUCAAAUUUUCGAGAAUAAUAAGUUCAAUGAGAAAGUGGAGUUAGCAGCCAUUACUUUUUAGUGUGGUUAGUAUUCGUACUGAUGAAAAGGAACAUACUUGGUUUGAUAACUUGUAGAUACAUGCUCAACAUGCCACGAAUUAAGCCCAUCACUGAAGAUCCUUCAUGUGAAAAGACUCGUUUGGUGAUAUUGUCCGACAACGUUAAAAGUGCUGGUAAGAGUUAAAUUCUUUAUCUGGGAAUGUGUCUAGGAAAUAGUGGGGAUUAGUCGUAUUAACCAAGUUUUUCUUUGUUAUAGGACAGAUUUGUCGGAGAUACCCGAGGAAAAACUAAACCAGCUUAAGAAACUAAGUGAAUUUGAAGUUGUUCCUCAUUCGGUCUCUCUUGGAUAUUCCUAUUGGAGUGCAGGUAAGCCAACAAUUUCAUUAGGAAGAUUUCUUCCAUUACCGUUUGUAUCUUGGAAUUAACAGGAAUGCUAUCCUUUAUGAUCUGUUUGAAACAAGCUUCUCUUGCGCUCUUUAAUCUAAAGCUUUUUUGAGUUUUUAUACAUACGUACGAGAAAAGUUGGUUACCAUUUCCUUCUAACUGUUGCUGGCCCGUUUCUUCGCCAAUUGGUUUGUGUUUCCCUGACAUUUGCAAUCCGAAUCAAUGGCUAUUCGUAAAUGGUCUAACGGUUUCUUGGGUUCUAUUAGCCUAAAAAUUCUUAUUUCCUUAAGUCCCUAUCCUGUUUAGGUGAUAUGAAAUCUUCUGAUAUGGUUUUUUCCUCGCAGAUCACAUAUUGAAGCAGAUUCUACCAGAUGGAGUGGACAUACCUUCAUCUUUUGAAACGAUAGUUAAGUAUUAAAUUUCUGUUUGCUUCUGGAACUUACCUACUUUAGAUUAGAAGAAAUCUGUUUGCAUGGUCUAGCAAUUUUUGUGUGCAUUUGUUAUAACUUAUUUCCAUCUAGUCUGCAACCUAAACACUAAUGGGUAUAUUUUCUUCUUAAGUUUUCAAGUAUUAUAAAUCCUCUCAAGAGAACCAACAUCUCUUUGCUUACUAAGUGCAGGUCAUAUUGCCCACUUAAAUCUACAUGAUGAGCUCCUUCCAUUCAAAGAUGUUAUUGCAAAGGUUAUCUAUGAUGUAAGUUUUUGAUGUUCUGUUCAUGAUAGCAUUUAUUUAUUUAUUUAAUAAUUGCAUCUCGUGUCAUCACAGCAAAGGCAUCUAACCUUCUGGUGGUCUUUUAUAUUUCUAGAAAAAUUAUCCAAGAAUCAAGACAAUUGUGAAUAAAGUUGGGACUAUCAGUAAUGAGUUUCGAGUUCCAAAGUUUGAAGUGCUAGCUGGGGAAAAUGAUAUGGAAACAGAAGUGAAACAAUAUGGCGCAAGAUUCAAGCUGGACUAUGGCUUGGUAUAUUGGAAUUCUAGAUUGGAGCAUGAGCACAUGCGGCUUUCGUCUUUGUUUAAACCUGGAGAAACCGUGUGUGAUAUGUUUGCUGGUAUUGGGCCUUUUGCUAUUCCAGCUGCACAAAAAGGAUGCUUCGUUUAUGCAAAUGAUUUAAAUCCAGACAGUGUUCGGUACUUGAAGAUCAAUGCAAAGUUCAAUAAGGUUGAUGAUUUUAUUUGUGUGCACAAUAUGGAUGCUCGUAAAUUUUUCUCUCAGUUGAUGACGGUGUCAACUUUUGAGGGUAAUCUGCAAUCGGUGGCUAAUGGUAAAACAAAGGAAGCAGUCGGUCGAGGAGGUAGUGGAUUUAAACUAUAUUUUUGCAUUAUAGUUAGCAUAAAGAAUAACAUUAACGAUUGGGGUCUCUAUACUGUGCUUAACUAUAGCUGAGACUAAAUUUGAAGAUAAAAAUGUUGGAAUUGGUGGAGAGGGGAUACAUGAAUCCAAUGCAACCAUAAAUGAGGCUCUUGGUGCAAUUAAGAAGCCCUCUGGUAUUACAGAGACAGGUAAGAAUUGUCUCAGAAUUUUUUUCUAAGACAUUCUAUUAGCCUUGGGGAUCAUCACAAUUCACAAGUAUAUAUUAUUUGAGUGCAGAAAAUGGGGUAGGAAAAGACCGCAAGAGUAUAGAAGGACACGCAAAUAAGAGGUUGAGACAAACAUUGCUUCCCAUUACAAAGCCGUGGGAACACAUCGACCAUGUUAUCAUGAACCUUCCAGCUUCUGCCUUGCAGUUUAUAGGUAUGCUAUCAACGAUUCUAGAUCUUUUGUUAAAUUUGGGACUAUUUUUAGACUCUUACAUAGGAAAUUGCAGCUCACAAAAUAAUGAUCUUGAUUCAGUAUUCUGGUUCAUGGUUAUAUUGUAAUGCUGUUUAUGCUAUGUGAAAAGAGAGUUUCAUUAACUACAUUUCACAUUAGCAAGUUAAUUAGGACCAGGGUCUAUAUAAAUAGAACAUGCAUCAUGUUUUAAGGCUUGUAUGUGUGAUUUGUUCUUCAACUCUAGUUUUUUUUUCUCUUCAUAUUACUAAUGCAUAUAAGCUCUGUAAUUGUUUGUGCAGAUUCUUUUACUAAUGUUAUUCAAAGGAAGUAUUGGAAAGGACUUCUUCCUUUAAUUCAUUGCUAUUGUUUCAUUCGUGCAAGCGAAACGACAGAGUCUAUAAUUGCAGUAAGUAUCAGCCACUCCCUCCUGCUUGUCCCUUGUAGUUUUGUUCUCUUCACUAUCAUAUCUUAAUACCAAAGACCUGUUAGCAAAUUUCGGCAUGCCUUGAAAAUCUGAAAUACUACUUCUGUGACACUUUUAAGGAAGCUGAAACUGCUUUGAAGUUCCAUAUAGAAGAUCCAGUCUUCCACAAGGUUAGAGAUGUAGCUCCAAACAAGGUAAGAUCCCACUCAUCUGUUUUUCAUGAAUGAAUUUUGGUAUAUUAUCGUCUUUGGUUCCUGAGCAUGGAUAUUUUUGUACAUUGCAGGCGAUGUUUUGUCUAAGCUUUAGACUACCUGAAGCAUGCAUGAAACAAGAAGAGUAAAAGACAUUUGUAGGAAAAAGAACAGAACCAAAAACGCCUUUGGAAUCUCUUCUCGUUUUGUUUUAUGGUAUCGUAAUAGAUCAGGAAUCAUUAAUGAAUGAGAUGAGAGUCUUCUUGUGUCAUAGGAUGUUAUAUAGCAGCAGUUCUAAAAUCCAUUGCUACAAAUGAUUGAACUGAAUUGUCAAAGAUUUUUGGUUGGUUUUAAACAUUGUUCGUAGUUUGUACCUUCACACUAAUAAAGUGUUGUUUGCCCAUACCUUGUGAAAUAAGUUCAUAGAAGAUGCUGAAGAGUCAAGACUCUGAGAGUGUAGUUGACAUUAGCAAAAAGACUGUUAGAAAAGAUGAAAGCACAUUUAGUAAUAAUAUACUCUUGACCACAUAUUCACCAUUAAGAGUGGGCUUUUACACUGGCGCAUGUUAGCAAGAAUAGUGACGGACCGUAGUGUAGAUGCGGCGGACGGAGUAACCAAAGAAGAAGGCCGCUCAAAAUAAUUAAAGUUGCCCAACCGUCACAUCUUCUUCAACCGAUCUUAGCUCAAAUAACCAACCCAAUUCUAUUUUGGUGUUAAUUCAACGAACCCAAAACCUUUUUCUUUCUCCUUUCUAGCUCAAGCUUUCUUCUUCCAAUGGCGUCUUCUGCAGCUCUCGGAUCUCUUCAUCGUGAGUCUCUCCCGCUCUGUCUCUUUGCUUUCCUUUCGUUCGUUGUGUAAAAUUAUAACAGAGGACCAUCAUUAGAAAUGUAUAGAUUGGAGCUAUCAGUUAGUGACAUUGCUGCUUCUUAGAGUGUAAUUAUACAGUCUUAAACUAUCUGAGGUUUUCAUGUUUUGAUAGAUCCGAUCUCUUUGUCGCAAUUGGUAUUUUUUUGUGACUGGAUAAGGUUUCGAUUUCGGAUCUUGAAUGUCUGAUUAUUUUUGUAUCAGAGAUGCGUUUCUCGUCUAGUGUCGGAAUAUUUCCAUUGGUCUUUCUUCAGGUGCUUUGUUGGAUUUUAGGCUAUUAAGUGGGAUUUUUCUCGUUCCAUUUUACAGAGACUUUAGGGUCACAGAGUGAGCUUCACUUGCUUUCUGGAAACUGGUCUGCCUCUGGUACUUCUUGUGUACCACGGUGGAGAUUAUCCAACAGGAGCAGCAAUUACACGCUUGUGUUACGUGCAAAGGCCUCUAAAACUUCGAUAACUACCAAAAGCGAUGGUGAGUUUUUCUUCCACAAUUCUUCUACAUGUUUGUAUUGCUGGUUGAUUCCUUUCUCACUGUUAGGAACUUAGGAUUGGAAUGGUUAUGCCACUAUGCCUCAUCACUUAGCUAACACGAUCCAUUGGCUAAAUAUGCUACUAGUCUCUUUUGCUCUUAAAGAAAUUCUGUACUCAAUUACCUAAGGCUAGCUGUAAUUCUUCAUCUUUCCCAAUUGUCUUGGAACUAGGGAAUACAGUGAUGUGAAGAUUGGAACAUUUUCAUUUCUUUCCUGGACUUUUGCUCAUCUCUGGUUUUGCAGAUUCAUCUGAUGCGACUGUGUCAAACGGGAAGAAAUCUGUUCGACGGACUACUUUCCCGAAAGAAGUGGAGGUUUCUUCCUUUGCCUUAUUUGGGUUUAGAUACUAGUUUCUUUAGCUUAUAAGUUUGGUAGGUGAUGAUUUGACGAUGUCCUCAAAUAUGCACUUUCUAGAUCGUCAGGAUUUUGGAUGCAUAACUUCAGGCAAUUUACUCUUAUAAUUUUUCAACAUGAUGUAUGGACCUUUCUUUAUAUAUUGUUCGAUGAAUUAUAUGUUUUAUUUUUCAACUGUUGCAGGCACUGGUCCACGAGAUGUGUGAUGAGACUGAGGUUGCUGUCCUGAAACUCAAGGCAAGUUUCUCUGGCGUUAACUUUAACUUUACUGUUUUCGUAAACUUUUCUUUAACCCUAUGACGAAGACAAUUGCAAGUUAUUUUACAACAGUGAUGGAGCUAAUAUCACUUAUUUGAGUUGAGGCUGACUAGUCUCUAACGUAGUUUCCAACAAUUUCAAUUUCUGAUGCUAUCUUUCACUACAGGUUGGAGAUUUCGAGAUGAACCUAAAACGGAAGAUUGGCGCAGCCACAAACCCCAUUCCCGUGGCGGAUAUUUCUCCAAGCGUAGCACCUCCUAUUCCUUCUGAACCCAUGAAUAAAUCUGUUUCUUCUGCUCCCAGCCCAUCUAAAGCAAAACCUUCUGAGAAAGUAUCUCCAUUUAUGAAUACAUCAUAUGGGAAACCAGCAAAGUUGACAGCUUUGGAGGCAUCUGGAUCAAACAAUUAUGUUCUCGUCAAAUCUCCCUCAGUAUGAGAUCCAUCACCAUAUUUAGUGAUUGCUUUCAUAUCCCUUUCUCGCAUUCUUCUUGUUUAAUUUGAUCUUGAAUCUUCUUCUCUUUUCUAAAGGUUGGCGAGUUUCAGAGAUGCAGAACUGUAAAAGGAAAGAAACUAUCUCCUACCUGCAAAGAGGUAAUUGACUCUAAACUCUUUUUCUUCUCUUAAAAUGAAAAGACAAAUAAGAUUAAAGAAUGUCCCAUCCUAAAUCCUCAGGGUGAUGAAAUAAAGGAAGGCCAAGUUGUCGGAUACUUACAUCAGUUGGGAACAGAACUUCCAGUGACGGUAAUAGCUUAAGCUAAUGUAUCCAUCUCUUCUUCGUAACUAUCAAAUAUUGUACUCAUCGAUCUUUGCUAUUCAUGAAACAGUCGGAUGUAGCUGGGGAAGUCCUCAAGUUUCUUUCAGAUGAGGGAGGUAAACAUUUUGAGUAUUCAAACCGUAUCAAUUAAUAUGAACAUUCAGAAAUCAUAUGAGAAAAUUAAUAUAAACUCUCAUGCUUCAUGUAAAAACAGACUCUGUAGGUUAUGGUGAUCCUCUGGUAGCGGUCUUACCAUCGUUCCACGAUAUCAACAUCCAGUGAGAAUGAUGGUUUCUUCAGCCCAAUUCCGCACCAAAUGAAUAACCUUCAUCAUCUCGAGACUGUACUAUUCGUCUUGUCCUGUGUUUCUUUUUUUGAAGAUUGUAGUUGCAAAGAGUCUAUUUUGAUCUUGCUCUUAUCAUUUGUCUUUUGUCACGUAACCUUGUGUUUUUGUUUUUGGUCACGUAAUGUUUUUUUUUCUGCACCAGAAAAAAAAAAAGAGAGUUGUGGUGAAUUUUGUUUUGUUAUUAGAAAUGACGUGGCUAUCUUAUCUUCCCCGAUCAUCAGAAGAAAUUCAGAAGAAAAUUGACGAAUGUUUGUUUGAUUAUAAUUAUAUUAACCGUGAAGAACAUAAAUUUAAAGUUGCUCUCUCUUAUUAUUGUAUUUGUAUCGGCUCGCUCGAUGUAUGUGUGAUAAAGCUGACGUGUACAAACGGAGCUCUCUGCUCUUCUCGGAGAAAUGAAACUCACCACAAAUGAUCUCUUCGUUUCUCAACCAUUAUUUCACUGCCCUUGCUCCUCCCACCGUCCUCGCCGUCGCCGUCUCCAUGGCCUUCAUUUUCCGAUCAACCUCAGUAAUAAGAAGAACAAUUCUUUAUCCGUCGCUGCUCUUUCUGAUUCCGAUCUUCCAACACAAGCCGCUUUCUCUCGCCGCGCUAUUCUUCUCUCGCCGCUCCUCGCUUCAGCUGCUUCCUUGAUUCUCAAGCCGUCUGUCUCUUUAGCCUCCGAGGAGAGCUCGUCCGCUACAGUGAAUUCGCCUGCGGAAUCAGCAGCUCCUCCUGCGACCGCCACCGCUCCAUCUCCGCCGCCUGCGGAAGAGACUAUAACCUCGAGAAUCUAUGACGCUACGGCCAUUGGUGAGCCGAUGGCUAUGGGAAAAGAUAAGAAGAAAGUGUGGGAGAAGCUGAUGAACGCGAGAGUUGUGUACCUCGGCGAGGCGGAGCAGGUGCCUACCAAAGACGACAAGGAGCUUGAACUCGAAAUCGUUAGAAACUUGAGGAAGCGAUGUGUUGAGAAUGAUAGCGAGCGUCAAAUCUCUGUUGCACUAGAAGCAUUCCCUCUCGAUUUGCAGGACCAGCUUAAUCAGUACAUGGAUAAGAGGUUUGGCUACACAUUCUUACUUCGAGCUCGAGAUUUUCGUGAUCCUGAGUAAUUUUCGUUUUUGGUGGCAGGAUCGACGGAGAGACAUUGAAGUCUUAUGUGACAGAUUGGCCUCCUCAACGCUGGCAAGAAUACGAGUCUCUUUUAAGUUACUGUCGCGAUAACUCUGUUAGACUAAUUGCUUGCGGCACUCCUCUCAAGGUAGAGUUUUUGGAUCUAGUUUAACUGUUUGGAAUCUUUGGCUCAUCUUUAUUGUUUGGUUUGGUUUGAUUUUAUUGUUUUAAUUCGGAUCUAGAGUGCUUUUAUGAUAUUUUUUUGAAUAACUGUUGGACUCUCACUGAUUGAUGUUUGUGGGAAUAAUAAUUAUAGUCUUCACUGUGUAACUGAGUAUGGACAUGUUAAAGCUUUUAAAGACUAAAGAGAAUGAGCUUCUCAGAAAUUUUGCUUUUGUUUGUUACUCUUAUAAGAGAUGAAAAAACUCUGCUUAAUCUGAUGUAGGUUUUAAGAACUGUCCAAGCAGAGGGUAUCCGUGGACUUUCAAAGGCUGAGCGUAAAUUAUACACUCCCCCUGCUGGUUCUGGGUUUGUCUCAGGAUUUUCUUCAUUCUCACGGAGAUCUACAUUCGAUAUGAGCCUCCCGACACAGAUUGUUCCGUUUGGACCAAGCUCUUAUUUGUCGGCACAAGCAAGGGUUGUCGAAGACCAUACAAUGUCACAAGUUAUUUUACAAGCAGUAGCAGAUGGAGGGGGUACUGGUCUACUGGUAGUGGUGACAGGGGCAAGUCAUGUUGAGUAUGGUUCAAGAGGAACAGGUUUGCCAGCAAGGAUCUCAAGGAAGUUUCCAAAGAAAAACCAAGUCGUUGUAUUACUUGAUCCUGAAAGACAGUACUUGCGAAGAGAGGGCGAAACUCCAGUUGCUGAUUUCUUAUGGUAUUCUGCUGCAAGGCCCUGCAGUAGAAACUGUUUUGACCGAGCCGAAAUUGCUAGAGUAAUGAAUGCUGCUGGCAGGAGGCGAGAUGCCCUUCCACCGGUAAGAAUCAUAUGGUUGCUUUCAUUAUAUUGACGACCUGUGCUCUUGUAUCUUAAAAUCUCUUAUCAAUUGAUUUGAUAAGCAGUUCAAUUCUUUUCCCCAAUUUUUUCUUUGUUGAGCAUGACUUUGGAUUAAGCUUGUAUAUGACAAGUUCAGAAUGAUGCAAUCUAUUCCAUGCUUUCCAGGAUAUUCAAAAUGGAUUAGACCUUGGUCUGGUGUCACCUGAGGUUCUGCAGAAUCUAUUUGAUUUAGAGCAGUAUCCUCUUAUUUCUGAGCUUACUCAGCGGUUCCAGGUAUAUACAUUCUGGUUUGCAUGGAAUAUUUAUGCUUUGUGCUCUAUAUUGAUAUAGCAGAGCUUGCAUACCAGUCUAGUUCAUACAUUACUUGUCCUAUAUUUAUCAAGGUUCUUGAAUAGUUUAGUGGAAAUUCAAUAACGACGAUUUACUGUGAAUUUGUGAUACAGGGUUUCCGAGAAAGGUUGUUGGCUGAUCCAAAAUUCCUGAAUAGGUUAGCUAUUGAAGAGGCUAUAUCAAUAACAACCACACUUAUAGCACAAUAUGAGAAGCGGAAAGAGAAUUUCUUUGAAGAACUCGACUAUGUUAUAACUGAUACAGUGAGAGGAUCAGUCGUUGAUUUUUUCACAGUUUGGCUUCCUGCGCCAACUUUGUCUUUUCUAUCAUAUGCUGACGAGACCACCGGACCAGACAGCAUAGAAUCCCUGAAAGGCCUCCUAGGAUCCAUACCUGAUAAUGCAUUUCAAAAGAGUCUUGCUGGAAGAGAGUGGACUCUGAAUCUUAGAAUUGCCUCAGUUGUUGUUGGUGGCUUGAAGCUUGCUGGUGUUGGAGUUGUUUCCAGUUUUGCGGCUGUGGGAGGGUCAAAUGCAUUGAAUGUGGUACGGAAGUUCAUUAAACCCGAGUUGGUUGUUGCUCAGAAGCCAAAGAGGUCUCCUCUUCUGAAAACGGCAAUGGUUUAUGGAGGUUUUCUGGGAGUAUCUGCAAAUAUUCGUUACCAGGUAUGAUGACCCAUUCUGCUCGACAGUGAUGGUGUAUUUAUGUUACUUUGUUGUCUUGGCUAAGGGAGAGCGUUGAUGGAAAGACAUUAUCAUUUGAUUUAUUCCUCUAACAUGAAAGUGUCUUUAUAUGCAGAUAAUUGCUGGAUUAAUAGAGCAUCGUCUAUCUGAUGAGCUUUCUUCUCAACCUCUACUUGUAAAUACGAUUUCAUUUGUUGUCAGGACACUUAAUUCAUAUUUCGGAACACAGGUCAGUCUUACAUGCCUGUAUAUUUUAUUUCUUUUUCCUCUUUUUUUUUAUUUCCUUUUCUCCUUUAAGCAUAGUGUCCUGAACCACUUAUUUUGGAAGUCCUAUUGACUUGAUCCCAACUUUUGAUAAAAAUGUGGCAGCAAUGGAUUGAUCUUGCACGGUCUACUGGUCUGCAAACUCAGAAAAGCAUUCCACCCCCUACCAAAGUUCCAGAGGCUUUGGAAGAAUCUACGGUGGAAUGCGAUACUACUGCUGAAGAGGAAAGUGUUGACAAGCUCAAUAAUCAAUGAUGCUGGUAAGGCUUCCCCACUAGUUAUCAAUGCAUAAUUUUUUGCCAAAAGCCUUAGAUGAUAUAAAUGAGGAUAAUAACUUUUAAUCAGUCAUUUUUAUAGGAUGGUGAAAAACUGUAACACUCUUAGUUGACAAAUAUUUUUGUACAGGAGUUGGAGAUGGUAUCUCUGUUGGCAAUAAGUUGUGGUCCAGAAAUACAUUGUGGAGUCCGGAACAAGAAUUCAGCAAACCUGUUGUGUAUGAGUCAGCUGCAUUUUGUUUAGACACGUAGCAUCAUGUAUACUGUUUUCUUUCUGGAAUUAAAGGCUUUGUCAAUGAAGCUUACGUUAGUUACUGAUACACAGUAAAAAUCAGGAAUCUUUGUCCAUGCAGUGCAGAUAUGUUGAGUGUAGGUACCAACUGGAGAAAUUUUUUGAAGGUCUUCGUGUGACUCGACAUCAAUCCUGAUAAGUAAUUUCCAGAUUUGAGGGUGGUUAUAUCUACAAAUUUUUGUGUGCUCAAAAAAUACACUGUACUAAUACAGCAAUGGAUGGUGGACUCAAAACCAGCGGUAUAUAAGUUUCUGCAUGUUCACUAUGCCAGGUACAUUUUGCAAAACUUACUAUCUAUUCCAAUAAUAUAUGUGAUUUUUUAUUGAUUUGGUUUUACUAUGUUGCAUGUCAUGUUCAAGGAACUAUACAGGUGUGGAAGGUGCUAAAGACAGUUUUCCUACAUUUACAAUCAAGAACAGACAUUAUCACCUACAGGCCACAGUUCAGUUCCUCUGAUAAAACCUGAACAUCAAGAAGCACAGCUGUGAUCGUAUCACACUAAUUUUUCUCCUUUGAAUUCCAGCAAAAGAGCCUUUCACUCACACUCACAGCAUCAUUACCCGGGUUUGGUAAAUGCAACCGACCUGCUUGCAUAGGUUUUUCUUUUCUUGUUGUAUCUGUUUUUGCCAUAGGACAUGAGUGCCAUAGGACAUGUGUGCCAUAGGACAUGAGUGCCAUAGGGCAUGAGUUCAUAAUAGAAUUUACUUGAUAAUUUUCAUUGUUGUUAGCUCUUCAACCCACUAUAAACCCCACGAAAGUAGACAAUCUCAUUAGAGAUGUUCUUAAUCAAAUACUUUAUCGAGAAGAAAAAACUAUGCAAACAAAGAUUAGAGUACAAACCCCAAAAACUAAACCUGCGGCUGCAAGCAUAAAAAACAAUGAGAGAAACAACCAAAGACUUUCUACUUUUUCCAAUAAAGCAUUCUUAAACGUUAUUUUUUUCCAACUGGCAAUAUCAAAAGAAAGAAGCAAUCCCAAUGGGAGAUCCUGUGAUGAACAUCUCUUAGAAAGAAAAGUUUGAUAACCAAGGAAUAAAAAACAUAACAAAAGGUCUUAACUAGAGCCUUAAGGUCAACACUGACUGCAAAUUUC